AGUAGAGCGGCUGGGUAGUGAGAGGAACCCGAGUAAAUCCCGAAUCCAUGUCGGAUUGCGGAAUUGUGAGAAUGGAGGAGGAUUGAGAUGAAUGAGAUUCAAUGUAUGAAGUGAAUUCCUGAAGUGGAAGCGAGGCAUAGUGGCUACCGUAUGAGGGGUUAGGAUCAAGGUGAAGGACUGAUUUUCCGGCGGCGGAGGCAGCGGAGGCGAGUAUGGCCUCCGGCAGACCGGUGCCGACCACUAUAAGGUCGAAGUUGGAUGGUUCAAUGGGAGGGUACGACGCAGUUUCAUCCAUCAGUAAAUCCAGCAAAAUUUUUA
rnacentral:misc_RNA from 1 species